rnacentral:rRNA from 1 species
UAAACUAGGAUUAGAUACCCUAUUAUUAAUAGCCCAUAUACAGAGUUGGGAAAUACGAACAAUAGUUUAAACACUAAAGAAUUUGGCGGUGUCUUAUAUAAUUAGGGGAACCUGUCCUAUAACUCGAUAAUCCACGACCACGCAACCUAAUUUUGAAACUCAGUUAGUGUACUGCCGUCUAAAGUAUACCUUCGUGAGCGUAUACAAACAAUUUAAACCAAUUAUACGUCAGGUCAAAGUGCAGCUUACAAUUAGGUAGAGAUGGGUUACAAUCUUUAUAAAGAUACGGAAUAAGCAAAUAAUAUGCCUAUGAAGGUGGACUUAACAGUAAUUAUAUUAUAUAGAAUAAUGAAUAUUAUUUAAGACAAGUACACAUCGCCCGGUCGCUC